AUGUACCAUUCGUACACUCCGGUUCUGAGCGCGCCGUCCACGCCCACCUGACGGCUGCUCGCUACUGUUGUUAGCC
rnacentral:sRNA from 2 species